UAGGGAAUCUUCCGCAAUGGACGCAAGUCUGACGGAGCAACGCCGCGUGAGUGAAGAAGGAUUUCGGUUCGUAAAACUCUGUUGUUAGAGAAGAACAGCGCAUAGAGUAACUGUUAUGCGUGUGACGGUAUCUAACCAGAAAGCCACGGCUGACUACGUGCCAGCAGCCGCGGUAAUACGUAGGUGGCAAGCGUUGUCCGGAUUUAUUGGGCGUAAAGCGAGCGCAGGCGGUCAAUUAAGUCUGAUGUGAAAGCCCCCGGCUCAACCGGGGAGGGUCAUUGGAAACUGGUUGACUUGAGUGCAGAAGAGGAGAGUGGAAUUCCAUGUGUAGCGGUGAAAUGCGUAGAUAUAUGGAGGAACACCAGUGGCGAAGGCGACUCUCUGGUCUGUAACUGACGCUGAGGCUCGAAAGCGUGGGUAGCAAACAGG
rnacentral:rRNA from 1 species